rnacentral:rRNA from 1 species
GGCGGCCGUAACUAUAACGGUCCUAAGGUAGCGAAAUUCCUUGUCGGGUAAGUUCCGACCUGCACGAAUGGCGUAAUGAUGGCCAGGCUGUCUCCACCCGAGACUCAGUGAAAUUGAACUCGCUGUGAAGAUGCAGUGUACCCGCGGCAAGACGGAAAGACCCCGUGAACCUUUACUAUAGCUUGACACUGAACAUUGAGCCUUGAUGUGUAGGAUAGGUGGGAGGCUUUGAAGUGUGGACGCCAGUCUGCAUGGAGCCGACCUUGAAAUACCACCCUU